rnacentral:misc_RNA from 1 species
GUAUUGUUUUGUUAGAUGGUUUUUUUAAUUUAUAUAGAUGGCUUCAAAAAGGCUUUCACCUAAGGCAAUAGGGUACCCUUCACCUUAAUAACACUGGUUCAGUCUACCACUCAGGUACCAUGCUUAUCAUACAGAUUGCAACUCUAGUUCUACAGACUGGAGGAGGAGUAGCCAAGUAGAACAUCGAUAACGGUACCAUGCUUAUCACCAUAUCAUUCUUAUGUAUCCAAGAUCUUCCUUUUACUUCUUCCCAAAAUAAUAUACAGAGUCCAGUUAACUCAAAAUAACGACGACACUAAAUACAAUAACUCCUAAGUGACUAAAAUGGAGCAAACAAGCAAUACAGUAGUAGAUGAUCCACUAUUUGCCUAUUUGGUCACCAAAUGUAGAAGUGCAAUAGUAUUCCCCAAUGACUUUCUUCCAUUCAAUCAAUUUUCCAAAGUGAGAAUCUUAAGGCUAUGACCAAGCAAAGAAUCAAAUAACACCAUUCACCCCACAGGAUUUGGUUGGUGGUAAAGAUGGAAGCACUUUCCUAAGUCAUUCAUUUCAAUUUCUGACUUUAUUCACUCCAUAGGCUUGGGAGUGAUAUGGAGCCAAGAAUUGCUAAAUAAACAUGAGACUAAGAUUACCCAUUAUAUAGCUAUUAGAAGAUCUGAAAACAAAUUACUCAAUGUUUUAUUAUGGUAGAUAAGUCACAAUCUAUUAAGCAUGAAUAACUAUAUUAAAGGAGCACAUUUAAGUUAAGUUCAAAGCAUAAAUGAGCGCCACUCAAUGCUUCGGUUGAUAAAACUUAAAAAGAAAAAAAUACAUGCUAACAUAUCAAUUCUUGUAUAUGCAGCAUACUUUGAAUUCCUCCCACAAUCUACAAUACAAACCCCGCAAAAUAUCUUAAAAAACUCUAAUAUUAAUUAAACUAGCUUUGCCCAAUCAUGAUCCACUCUUUCUCAAAGUUUAGUUAAAUUAAUAACUGCAUUCAAAAAUAAUAAAAUAUGGGAAGGUGCAUCAACAAAUAGUUUAUAGUGAUUUUUUUAACUUGCCAGAUUUUUUUAUAUGAUAGAAAACAAACUUCAAGAUAAAACAACGUAAUCAAAGAAUGCCAAUGUCUCAUUCAAGUGCACUAGGAAGUAAAACAACAAACUAUUCAAAUGACUGUUUUCCUUGCUUCAAUCAUCUUCCCACAAAAGGCCAAUCAAACAAGAUUGAUCCUAUAUCCAUUUUCCCCGGCCAGCGUUUUCAGGAACAACUAAAGUUGAGAAAUCAUCAACCCCACGUAUAUAGUCUGAGCUACUUCACCAGGGAAGGGCAUUGAUAAACCACUAAAACAAAGUGAAUUAAACAAAAUUGCCCAUACAUAUACACGGUAAAAUCUUCCAACUAGUAAAAAGGCGCCAAUAAUUCUCUAAACAGGAAGACCAUUUUUCACAAAAAUUUAAAGCAAACAAUGCGCCAGUAAUUCUUUGGAUUCAGAAAUAAGAAAACAACAUGGCAGCAGCAGCAGCAAAAACCAAUAUGCUUUACAUGAAUUGUGUGAAAACCAUCAGAUCUAGUUUAACUAAAACUAAUACCACUGACAUGCUUCACAUCACAAUUAUUGGAAUGACUAACCAUUUACUUGAGUUCCAUAUUCCUUUGAAGUCCAUGUGAAUAAACAAACAGACAAAUA